AAAUGUACCGAAAUAAAUUACUAAGUCCUUGUGUGCAGUGGUGGUUUUAGGUACGGGCAAACCAGGCAGCCCGGGGCGGCAUAUUUGUGGGGGGCGCCAAGUCACAUGGGGGGCGCCACGAGCAGUAAAAAAAAAUUUGCGCUGCGUAGCGGUUAUCAAUGAAGUACUACAUAACAUUGUGUUGGGAAUAGGUAUUUUGGCGCCCCCUCUGGCUGCAGGCGCACACCUGCUCGUUGAGAAGGUGCCAUGCGCAGACGGAAUGAAACCCCCACUGAAGUCCGUAGGUUCUAGUGGCCGCUUGGCGCCACUGGUCCUCACCCCUCUACACACCUGUCUGCAAUCUACGAUCACCGUUCCCUACUUCAGCCGAGGAUCUCCCGGCUGAAGUAGGGAACGGUAGUAGGGAAGUAGGGAAUCAGCCGGCGCCAGUUCGUCGUUUACCACUACUCAUUCUCCGUUCGUCACCCUGACCCCCUGUUGCCGAAUCCCUGCCUGCCUGACUACCCGCCUAUCGCCGAGCCCCUGCCUGCCUGACUGCCUGCCCAUUGCCGAAUCCCCGCCUGCCUGACUACCCGCCUACCGCCGAGCCCCUGCCUGCCUGACUGCCUACCUGUUACCGAACCCUCGCCUGCCUGACCAUGGCUUGGCUAGCCCCGGCUUGUCGUUACUCCUUGCCCAAUAAACCCAACUUCCUAUCCA